rnacentral:tRNA from 1 species
GCAGUGGUGGUUCAGCGGUAGAAUUCUCACCUACCAUGUGGGAGACCAGGGUUCAAUUCCCAGCCAGUGAA